rnacentral:tRNA from 1 species
AGCCACCCCAAUAAGCUCCCUGACUAUUCUUAGUCAGGGAGCUUUUGUUAUCCGAUACAAUCACUGCAUGCUUAAC